GACCGAACUGGAAUCGUAUUGUUAGAACGCUCUCGCUCUCUCGUCGUCAGUCUCGCUUGUUCGUUUUCUUCCGCUGGAUUGUGGUUUUGACGCCUUCUUUCAGGUGGAGUCGCUAUCAAUCCACGAUGACUAUGGUUUCCUCGUAAGAGGUGGCUUUGUGGCUCGUGGUGUUCGUCUUGGUCACCCUUUCCCUUCGUGCCCUGUUUUGAUACGAGGGAUUUCAGAGCAUGGAAUUAGUUGGUUGAUGGCGUUGAUUUUUUGUGCCUUGUUUCUUGUCUGGUUUUGGUUUGUCGCUGUUAGAAUCCAGCUUGAGGUUAUGCUUUCGAAUUUUUGGAAAUUUUAGAAAUCAGCUAUCGCAUUUCACGGGGUCAUCUUUCCGCUCGUUUUCACUGGAAUCAGAUGAUCCUUUGUUUGUUGUUCUUUUGUUCGAGGUUAAUGCUACUAAGUUAUCAAAUAGCAUUUCCUUGCUCUAUUUCAGUUUUACAGCUUAUUUGGAAGAAGGCAACUAUAUGCAUAGAGCAUAAGAGGAGGAAAACUAUUGCUGAGAGUUUUGGAGAAGAAGAGCUCUAAGAGGUCAGGUGGAGAAGAGUGGUAGCUUUGGAAGGAAUCCAUGCUAAGUGAUGGUGGUGCUGGUGGAAUGGAGCAGAAGAUGCCAGAGUCAAGACUUCCAACCCAAUUAUGAUACCGGUCAUCAUCAUGUCUUUGAAAAUGAUUUGAGCCAUCCAUAUGGUAGGGCGAAGAUACAAGGAUUUGAAGUAUCACCGGAGAGACAUGUGCACAGGGCAUUGGAUCCCUCCACCAUUAGCAUUGAGAUCUCCCAGUCAGUGGACAUUCUGGAGUGCAAGGUGGGCAGCACAAGGAUUGCUAUCUCUGAGGGGUAUCUUGAGAUUGGUUGAGUGUCUGACUCUAAAACAACUUGCUUGCCAAAGAGCGAGAGUUAACGAGAGCAGUGCAGGUGCUCUCAUUGUGCUGGGAUUUGGUAUUGGUUUUCGGCUUGCACUAGAAUGCUGUAGAAAGUGGAGAAAUCAGUAGAUGACAAAUGCAAAUAUCAAUCCUGGGUACCAAGUUGCAGUAUAGAUUACCUUGUAUGUAGUUUUGAGCAAUAAUACAGAAAGUCUCUUGUAGAGUACAUAAAUAAUUCACUUUUUGCCUCAUUUACCUGUACCAUUUAAGAAGGUUUGUUGGUAAAUGAUCGAUUGAAUGACUAGUGUUGUUUUUUCAUCAUAUCAUUGUUUGUAACUACCAUUUGCAUUUUGGAAACUCCAGAUUUUCUGCAAACAUGUUUUUUUAUGCCACUAUGUUGCUAUGGUUUAUCAUUCUUUUAACUGCAAUAUUUUUAACUUCAUUUAUUUAUAUUUUAUCUAUUCUUUUAGUAUGUCAUACAAUUAGUAUGUAUCUGAUAGAUACACUGACUAAGAAGAAAAUUAGCAUAAUCUAUUUGCAGGAAACUAAGUGGACAGAAAAAAAA